AUGUUGAGGUCGAUCAAUUUAACCGAGUUGCCAGAUAUGUUCCCGUGGAUGUUGACUACCAAUGGUCUCAUUACCAUGAAGUCCAUGUAUGCAGAUCUUAUGAAUUCUUUGUUUCACAUAAUGCACAUCUGGAAAACAAAAUUUGCUUCUAAAAUCAAAGUUUUCAUGAGUGUCUUGCAUAGGGGGGUAGUUCUUACCAAAGAUAGUCUUGCAAAAUGUAAUUGGCAGGGUAGCAAACAAUGUUGUUAUUGUAAUCAUGAGGAAACAUUUCAUCAUUUAUUACUAUCAUGUCUGCUCACUACAUUGAUUUGGCACACAAUUCACGUUCUUUCAAUUUAUCACCACCAACAAGUAUACCAUUUUUUUGGUAAUUGGCUAGGUGGUAUUCACCAUAAUCUGAAGGGCCAAAUCUACUUGGGAGUUUGUGUCAUCCUUUGGGAAAUUUGGAAUUGCCGGAAUGAGUGUGCUUUUCAUAUAUCAUGUAUUCCAAAUUUUUAA
rnacentral:rRNA from 1 species